UCUCGAUUGGUCUAGUGGUAAGGAUACCUGCUUGUCAAGAAGCAAUUCGCAGGUGGCCGGGGUUCGAUUCCCCGAUCGAGAG
rnacentral:tRNA from 1 species